UCUCGUUGGUCUGCUGACUGGUUACGUUCUUGUUGACACGAUGUGAUGCUUCUCAUAAACCAAUUUGUCUUCCUAUAGUGGAUCGGCAACAGCUGAAUUGGAUUUGGGACUGGAAGGCCAAGGAGGACGAGAAGGAAUGCGCCGCCGAAAAGAAAUAUAUGUCACCGUUGAUGAUAAGCAGGAGGCCAAAAGAAAGAUAAACAUGCAGACUCGCCGAAUAAGAACAAUAAGCAGCGCCGCAGAGGUGUGGGAUGCUACUGUCGCUCAUCCGAAGCUGCUUUUGUAUCUCAAGUUCUACCAAAUACCGGGCCUAUUCUGAGAUGUUGGUGGAUUAUCUGCAAAAAUUACAAAGCUGUUAAAUCUAGACCUUGGAUUUAAUCAUUUGCAUUCUCUUUCAUCCUUGAAUAAGGUUUGCAAUCGGGUGGGCAUACUUGUAUUUAUCUUCCAAAGCAGAGCUGCUAAUUUCCUGGUCGUCGACCUUUUGCAGUACUGCUACCCUCCUGUGCCAUCAGGAAGAUGGUGUGUUUGAUAACAUUUGUCGUAUUGACAUCAUCGCUUCAAUGGUAUCUCAGCAGCUGAAAGAGAGUGCUAUAAAAUUGAUUAGUUUGUAGCAUCUAAUGAACGUUCCAUCAAGUAAACAGUAAUCAUCUGUACUUGAGAAUCUCUUUCUCUUUUUUUCUGUAGUACCUUUAGUUCAUUUACAUGAUAGUGUAAUUCAAGGAGGCGGCAAAUGUCAUUGCAUAGUCUAUAUUAACCAUGUCAAAAAGCGUUACUUUGCAAGUGUAGAUAAAUGUCAAAAGCCUUUAUCUCAAACAGUAGCUGGGGCUGAACAGUUGUAGUCUUUGUCGUCUUAUUUUGCUGUCUUUUUUUCUUUCUUUCUACUAUAGUGAGUCUUCUGGAUAUCAGCUCAAUGUGUCUGGAAACAUGACAAUAUCAAUUCAUGAUUUGUUUUCAGCGAGUAUUUAGUGCUCAUUCCGAUCCAACGAAACUGAGGCAAUGGAUUUGAAGCUGUUGUGUGUCUGGUUAACAUAUGUCCAUGUUUGUAGCAAUAACCACUUGUUGUAUUCAGUUUUUAAUGCUUUUAGUUCAAGUCUAUUUUGGUGGUUGUCGCAAGGUGUUUCUUUUUUUCCCAACUACUAUAUUUCUGCACUGGCUACCAAUAAUUGUGUUCCUAAAAAUAAAUCUAUUGUUGUCCCUUGUAAAUGUGGUUUAAUUUGAGUAAAUUGUAAUUGUUUGUGCUAGAUGUAUUUUGUAUGAUCAAAGAAACUUCAUUGAUGUUUCUUAUAAUGUGUACUAGACCAAUGCUGAAACAUAUCUAAUUUGAUAAUCUUAUGCUUCACAGGCCCAUUAUAUGCCACUGUCAGUCUGAAGUGAGAAGCGCCAUAAAUAGAUAGGAGUUCUCUGCUUAAAUAUUCUGGACGAUUAAUUAGGUUAGCAUAGAAGGAUCAAUCAAAGUUAUUUUUGGAAUCGUGUGCAUACAAGUCGUCUUUUUCAGUCUGGUACUUAUAGCUGCUCUUUAAUAUGGUACUCUCUCCGUUUCUAGAUAUAAGGUGUAUAGUUCUUUGACAAAAGUCUCCAAAAUAUAAGGUAUAUUGCGGUGAACAACCUGUGUGGAUUUUUUUUAGGGAUUUGCAUGUGGUUUCUUAUCUUUUGAAAACUCUUAUAUUUUAUGAUGUCAAUUGUCCAGGAUCAAUCCCGCCUAAACCUUGUGUAGUUGUCUCCCCACAUGCGUUUCUUAAUUUUUGUGCCAAAAACUAUGCCUUAUAUCUAGGAACGGAGGGAGUAUCAUUUAUAUCGGCAUAUAUAUCCAUAAGAAAGAAUCUUGAUUGAGAUAUAAGCAAACCGAACAUGUUCUACAAAUAAUAAGUCAAGCUGAUGACUAACUAGCUUGGUUUUUGUGGAUUUGUUCUCUGUUGCUUGGUUAGUGCCUGUUAGAUCAUUUAUCGACAGUUGAUUCUUGACUUAUUGAGGCAGUAGUAUUUCAGUCCAGGCAUGAGUUUAUAAAUCUGAUAUUAUACUUUAUAUCCUUUAUUUGUAAAUAUGGGUGGUACUGUUACUGUUACUAGCUAGGUGCAAAAUUGAAUAAUAAUUUGUAAAGUCAAAUAAGUAUAACAUGUUUGUAAAGUAAUGCACAUUAGAAAUGAACUCGGUUAGACUGGAAAUGCUUUUCAGAAUGUUAGUGCUUCAGUGAUUUGAUAAUUGACAGUCGAACAUUAUUGUGCUGGAAGAUAUAGAGUAUUUGUCUCAACUCUUACUAUGUCACUGCACCUCUGAAGUCAUUUUCUUGCAGGCUGAGCAUUUAGGUGCGAAUUAAAUAUGUUACAUGAUCGCUUUCUUGCAAGAUUUUGUUCCAUAUCAGUCAUGGUUAUAGAUAUAUUGUUUAUUUCCAUUCAUGUUUUAGGAAAGUUCAGUAUUCAAGGUAUGUAGUUUCACUGCUUUUCUUAUGCCUGCUUGUUUUAAAACCAUCGCAUGUGCAGCUAAAACUGUAAAUCAAUCUCUCUUUGUGUUCUGUUGGCUUAUCCUUAUCACUUCUAUUUUAUCGUAUUUCAAACCAUGGUGCUUUUAUCUUUAAGAGGAGUGUUCGAAAGAAUGUUUUGGUUUUCUUAAUCAUACUGAUCAUAGAAUAAUUUAAAACUAGCAUGUUGCUGUUGUUUCAAUAUAUAUUCAAUUCAAAUUUACUUCAUAUUGUAAACAAUGAAUUCUACUUCAGGGCAAAAUUGACUAAUUCCCUAUCUAUGUUUGUAAUAGUGUUUACAUCUUGAAUUUUUGUUUGCUACUGGCCUGUUGGCUGAUGUGCAGAUGCGAUGAAUUCACAUGGAGUGCGCCGUCAGCAACUGCCUUGCCUCCUCCGCCUCCUCUCCUAUCGCCGCUGGAGAUACCACGCAGCAGUGCAGAGCAUGUUGGUGCAGUUUUAUAUUUCUUCUCUUUUUCCUCUUGAGUUCUUUAUUAUUUUCAUCCCUUCCUAUUCAGAUUUUUUGUCAUUACACUUUGCAUAUGGGGUCAGCGAUUUUUUCCGGCGGAAACUUCCAGGGGCUACUUUUAGAGGAGGGCUGUGAUUACUUCUGAGCUCUGAAUUUUUGCAAUGCUGGCAAGAAGACACAAAUCAGGGUUUUUUCCGUGGCUAUCCUAUUGAGUAUUUGUUGGAAGUUUAAUCACUGCCACAAGUAAACUUACUUGCUUUCUUUUGACUUUCGGUUUCCUUGUUUUAUCAGCGUUGAUGACAUGUAGGAACUUUCAUAUGGCUUACAAUUUCGUGAAUUGUCAAUCAUUGUGCUUUCAGUAGCUAGCUUAUGCAUUUGGGAUUGAUGUUUUGGCACAUGGGAGCGUAUGCUCCCUUUAUUUCGAAAUGCAUGUUAGACAUAUUUUGAAAUGUUAAAAAAUU